rnacentral:rRNA from 1 species
AUGAACGCUGGCGGCGUGCCUAACACAUGCAAGUCGAACGGGACUAUCAAGUGAUGUUUCGGACUGAACUUUUAGUUAGUGGCGGACGGGUGAGUAACGCGUGGACAACCUGCCUCUCACUGGGGGAUAGCAGCUGGAAACGGCUGGUAAUACCGCAUGCGUUCAAUGUGCCGCAUGACACAUUGAAGAAAGAUUUAUCGGUGAGAGAUGGGUCCGCGUCUGAUUAGCCAGUUGGCGGGGUAACGGCCCACCAAAGCGACGAUCAGUAGCCGGCCUGAGAGGGCGGACGGCCACAUUGGGACUGAGACACGGCCCAGACUCCUACGGGAGGCAGCAGUGGGGGAUAUUGCACAAUGGGCGCAAGCCUGAUGCAGCGACGCCGCGUGAGUGAAGAAGUAUUUCGGUAUGUAAAGCUCUAUCAGCAGGGAAGAAAGGCCCGCAAGGGAGAUGACGGUACCUGACUAAGAAGCCCCGGCUAACUACGUGCCAGCCGCUGC